rnacentral:rRNA from 1 species
UUGUCUCAAAGAUUAAGCCAUGCAUGUCUCAGUACAAGCCGAAUUAAGGUGAAACCGCGAAAGGCUCAUUAAAUCAGUUAUGGUUCCUUAGAUCGUACCCACGUUACUUGGAUAACUGUGGUAAUUCUAGAGCUAAUACAUGCAAACAGAGCCCCGACCGGAGACGGAAGGGGCGCUUUUAUUAGAUCAAAACCAAUCGGCGGCGAAUGCUCACGCGUUUGUCGUCGUACAUUUUGGUGAAUCUAAAUAACUUUUUGCUGAUCGCACGGUCUCGCACCGGCGACGCAUCUUUCAAAUGUCUGCCUUAUCAACUGUCGAUGGUAGGUUCUGUGCCUACCAUGGUCGUAACGGGUAACGGGGAAUCAGGGUUCGAUUCCGGAGAGGGAGCCUGAGAAACGGCUACCACAUCCAAGGAAGGCAGCAGGCGCGCAAAUUACCCACUCCCGGCACGGGGAGGUAGUGACGAAAAAUAACGAUACGGGACUCAUCCGAGGCCCCGUAAUCGGAAUGAGUACACUCUAAAUCCUUUAACGAGGAUCAAUUGGAGGGCAAGUCUGGUGCCAGCAGCCGCGGUAAUUCCAGCUCCAAUAGCGUAUAUUAAAGUUGUUGCGGUUAAAAAGCUCGUAGUCGAAUCUGUGUCCCGCGCCGCCGGUUCAUCGUUCGCGGUGUUUAACUGGCGUGUCCGCGGGACGUCCUGCCGGUGGGCUUAGCUUAGCGCGUUGCGUUCGUGCGCUACGCGCGUGCGUUCGUGCGUUGCGAGGCGGCCCAACUUGAAAUCCCGCCGCGGUGCUCUUUGCUGAGUGUCGAGGCGGGCCGGCACGUUUACUUUGAACAAAUUAGAGUGCUUAAAGCAGGCUAAAAUUUCGCCUGAAUACUGUGUGCAUGGAAUAAUGGAAUAGGACCUCGGUUCUAUUUUGUUGGUUUUCGGAACCCCGAGGUAAUGAUUAAUAGGAACGGAUGGGGGCAUUCGUAUUGCGACGUUAGAGGUGAAAUUCUUGGAUCGUCGCAAGACGGACAGAAGCGAAAGCAUUUGCCAAAAACGCUUUCAUUGAUCAAGAACGAAAGUUAGAGGUUCGAAGGCGAUCAGAUACCGCCCUAGUUCUAACCAUAAACGAUGCCAGCUAGCGAUCCGCCGACGUUCCUCCGAUGACACGGCGGGCAGCUUCCGGGAAACCAAAGCUUUUGGGUUCCGGGGGAAGUAUGGUUGCAAAGCUGAAACUUAAAGGAAUUGACGGAAGGGCACCACCAGGAGUGGAGCCUGCGGCUUAAUUUGACUCAACACGGGAAACCUCACCAGGCCCGGACACCGGAAGGAUUGACAGAUUGACAGCUCUUUCUUGAUUCGGUGGGUGGUGGUGCAUGGCCGUUCUUAGUUGGUGGAGCGAUUUGUCUGGUUAAUUCCGAUAACGAACGAGACUCUACCCUGCUAAAUAGGCGUAUUUCCGACAUCUCGAAGGCCCGCCGGCCCGGCUUUUCCCUUCACGGGGGUGGUCGCGGUCGCGCGCGGUUUUUACUGUCGGCGUACAAACAAAUCUUCUUAGAGGGACAGGUGGCUUCUAGCCGCACGAGAUUGAGCAAUAACAGGUCUGUGAUGCCCUUAGAUGUUCUGGGCCGCACGCGCGCUACACUGAAGGAAUCAGCGUGUCCUCCCUGACCGAGAGGUCCGGGAAACCCGUUGAACCUCCUUCGUGCUAGGGAUUGGGGCUUGCAAUUGUUCCCCAUGAACGAGGAAUUCCCAGUAAACGCGAGUCAUAAGCUCGCGUUGAUUACGUCCCUGCCCUUUGUACACACCGCCCGUCGCUACUACCGAUUGAAUGAUUUAGUGAGGUCUUCGGACCGGUACGCGGCGGCGUUUCGACGUCGCCGAUGCUGCUGGGAAGAUGACCAAACUUGAUC